rnacentral:ribozyme from 1 species
GCCACUCGAUACAGCAACCUCCCCGUGGUGAGUGGCGGGCAACGGAGAAAAAGAGGGCUCCGGCUGAUAGCUGUAA